rnacentral:lncRNA from 1 species
CUGCCUUCCUGGUGCACUUUUUGGAGAACGUGGUGGAAUCAGAGGUUUCUGGCUGACUCGGUGGGUGCUUUGAACCAGGAAAGGACAAGAAAGAGGUGCCACCUCCUGAGUCCUGGUUCCUGCGGCUCCGUCGAAUCUGCAGUGAAGGCCUUUGGGAAGCGUGGGUUAUGUGGGUCCAGGGGUCCCAUCCUCCCGUGGAGGCCCUUGACCUGAGGAUCACUAACUCACACCCCACCGACUUCCGGCCCCCAACAAGGGCAGUGUUCCUCUUGCUCCAUUCUGCUCUGAAGUCCCCCAAACCGCUUCCUGGGGCUGCUUAGUGAAAUACAAGGCUCAUCUCUGAGGACCUCUACAGGGCUGGAUGGGAAGGACUGAUCCACAUUCCCACCAGGAAGUUUAGCAGAACCCCCGCGUGCCACCUGGACCCCUUGGAAGGACCUGGCUCAGGCUGGACCACCUCUUGAGAGGCAGGAGCUCUGGAUUUGAUCAAGAAUUCUUUGCUGAGCAUGGUGCCUCAUGCCUAUAAUCCCAACACUUU